UACGUAGGGUGCGAGCGUUAAUCGGAAUUACUGGGCGUAAAGCGUGCGCAGGCGGUUUCGUAAGCUGGAGGUGAAAUCCCCGGGCUUAACCUGGGAAUGGCCUUCAGGACUGCGAGGCUAGAGUGCGGCAGAGGGAGGUGGAAUUCCACGUGUAGCAGUGAAAUGCGUAGAGAUGCGGAGGAACACCGAUGGCGAAGGCAGCCCUC
rnacentral:rRNA from 1 species